GCUGCCUUCAUCAAGCGUCAGCCUGCUAAGAUUGCCUACUUUGACUGCAUUGCCACCAUUGAUGAUGUCAAGCUUGGCAACAAUGCUUUGUCCAAAAUGCGGCAAUGAAAAUGCUACUGCAGGAGCCAACUACCGCGUAGAAAUGUUUGUCUAUGAUAAUGAGGAGCAGUGCACUUUCAUCAUUCUCGGAAAUGCUGGUAAAGAUCUCACUGGCAGAAAAGCAACAGAGUUGAUCGACAUGUUGAGGAAAAUGGUGGAGAUGGGGCUGAGCUUGAGAUUCCACUGCCACAAUGUUUUAUCGACACAAUAGGACAGACAAAGAAAUUCAGGAUCAAGGUGGCUCACUACAACUUCACAUCUACCCGCCUAUCCUUGACAGCUACCAAAAUUGUCUCAUCAGCAGUUUUGCCACCAAAGAAUCCUCCACUCAAGACGCCACCAGGAAAUGAAGUGGAAAUGUCCGAGUUAGCUGAGAGCAGUGGUGGUGGUACUUCAGCCAGUGACGACAAGAAGAAAGCAAAGCGUGCCAAGCUUAGUGGCUAGAUCACAUGCAGUAUAGUCACUCCAUCAGUGGCUGGUACAGACUGCCCAAUCAUAAUGCUUCUCCGGUAACAGUCUUCUUAUCUCUCUUUAAUCAGUUUGCUUUCUUCUUCUUGCAAAGACAGUUUAUUAUUUGAAAAAUCUUAUGGUUUUGUUUUCUUAUUAAAGUUGUUUGGUUUUCAUUCUUAUCUUGGUUAUGAAACUAAGAUAAUUUAUGCCUACUUGUUCAUUGUCACUACUAUACUCAUGCAUAUAUGAAGGACAUCAAACGGGCCAUGCGUUUAGUUUAUGUAAUUAUCCAAGUGAUUAAUUUGUCCUAUUGGUUGGAGUCAGUGAUGGAGAAAAACAAAAUUUCACAAUUCAUGUUUGUUAUGUAUAUGAAUCUGAUCAUUGUAUAUGUAGUGGAACAUGAAAAAAAAAAUGGCAAAUGGACUACGUACUUAAGAAUUCACAUUGUUAUAAAUCCAAUGCAUGCAUGGAUUUGUUAAGUCCAGCUGUUAAUGGCAAAAGAUAUUCAUGCCAAAAAUUGAAGAAAAUAUAUUCAACCAUUAAUACAAAUAACAAGAGAUAUGGAAACAAAACAAUACGUAUUCCAAAAGAGAUUCGGUCUCUGACUCGAAGCUCAACACGGCAUAUUCAUUACCGCACUGCAGUCUCCACCGAUUCUCCUUCUACCUUCCCAGAGAGGUCUUCGACGCCUGAAUAGAAAACCGGCUGACGUCUCAUCACGUAAGCAAUAGUAUACCAUCAAACGGCUUUGCCAAUUAGCUUCAUUAGGUUUUUGUGGUGGAUCUGACCAGGGUCAAACCAACCUCCAAACACCACAUGCUUGCAUCAAUAUCAUCCCUUUAUUUAUCACAGUUUGGUUCAUCAUAUCUUACUUAUUUCUCUUUUGUGUGUUUGUUUAAGGAACUGCUGUCCCUCAACACUAUGGUGAAACAAACCUCCGAAGAUCCUCUGCAUCUAAGAGGUAUUUUGAAUUUACAAGUUAUUUUUUUUAUCAAAGAUUAAUUAUUUACAUCUUAUUUAAAUAAAGUUAAUUUCCAUUGUGGUGAGCUAUCAAUUUCCGUAAGAGAAAAAAGUAUAUGACUGUGCCUUUUAAAUUGACGCAGGAAGCGGUAAUGUAAAUUUUAUAAAUUUAGACUUACUUUCUAUUGUAAAACUAAAAAUUUAAACUGAUUUUUUUAAUGAAAAUUCUCAUAUAUUACAACAAGGAAAGUGACAAUGACAAAUUAAUUUUCAAAAAUCCCAAAAAAACCUUAAAACCCUAUACAACCGGAAUUUUAACUCUGCCUUAUUAUCAAUCUUGAAUCAAAAACAAUUUUAUUAUUCAAAUAUUAAUUUAAUACUUUAAUCCAAAACUUUAAUAAAACAAAUAUACAAGUUGUAAAUGCACUCCAUUGUUUCAUCAUUACAGGAGUUUGCACCUGUCUAAAAUGCAAUUUGUUUUUUUUACUUUUACAAAAAUUGUUGUUCUUUCUUUGAAAAUUCUUAAAACCGGAAAAGACUUCGUUUUGGAUUUUAUGAUUCUUUGAAAAUUCUUUAAAAAUAUGUUUAAAAAAAGAAGGCUUUGUUUUGUUAGAACCAAAGGUAGGUCAAUUUCCAGCCCCCAAACUGUUAAAAAACGAAAAUCAAUUUUAUCUCCUUUUGUUUUUAUUUAGCCGAGCCUUCUGAGAUGAUUGAAAUUUAUAUUUAUGCCAAAGUUUAAGAUAAAACGGAAAUAUGAUUUUUAUCUGUAUAUUGCCAAAACCUAUAUUUCAUUUUAAUAUAUUUUUCAUUAGUCACAUCUUAUUAACCUAUAUUUCGUUUUAAUAUAUUUUUCAUUAGUCACAUCUUAUUGAAUUUUAUUUGUUUAUAAUAUGUUUUAAAACGUACCAAAAUAAAGGAAAAUAUUUUAAUAAAUAAGGAAAUUAUUAACUUACUUAACAAUUAAAAACAAAAAAAUGAAACUGAUAUAUUUUAAUCAAAAUUCACAUAACAAGGAAAUUGACAAAGACAAAUUAUUUUCGGUAAUUUAAGCUAGUUACCCGGUUUAAACUCUAUGAUUGACAAAUAUUAAUUAUUUGUAAACAAGGAAAUGGAAGAGGGUACUUUCUUUGUUCCAAUUUAAUAUAACUGUAACAUAUUUUGAUGACAGUUUCUUCAGGCUUAACUAAAACUGAAUUAAAAUUUAAUUGCAGCGUAAACUUCUGAUAGAUAAAUUAAAUAACCAAUUUUUGGAAAUCUGUUUUCCAGAAAAGGAAUCCAAAGAUUUGAAGAAGAUUUGUUAUUGUUUACUUAUUAAUAUUUGUACCUUGAAUAAAAUAAAAUAAAGAUAUGAUGCUAAUAUUAUAAAUCCAUUUCAUAUAAAAGUUGCUAUAUUUGAAAUCACAUGUCCCAUUGCAACAGCUACAUAAAAUAAAUAGAACAAUGCUAUAUAUAUUUUGAUGUAAAUUUAGUUUAAUUACUUAAUUUAAUAAAUAAAUUUUGUUAUGUACUUUUAUCUUAUAAUAUUGUUUGUGUGGAUAAAUAUAUUUUCGUCCAAAAUUGUGUAAAAUUGUAUUUCUUAAAAAAACUAGAAAAUAUUAGCAAUUCAAUUUGGCAUUUCAUUAGAGGUGUAAUUUUGGAUAUAUAAUAUCUCUACUAUUUGGUUAUUAUUUGAAUAUAUUAGAUAACAUUUACUUUUUCAAUUCAACUAAGAUAUUUUUAUUAUACAUAUUAAAAUUUUGAUUACUUUUGUUAUUUUCAUAUCGUUUGAUUUUUGCCUUAGAUUUGUAUAUAUUUAGUAAGAUUAUGUAUAAUUUAAUAUAUGUUUUAAGAGAAUCAAACAGUAAAACUAAACUAAAGUGUUAAUACCAGAAGAUAGUUUCUUUUGUAAAGUUCUAAAAAAUGUAUGCCCUUAAUUAAAAUUGCAUGUUUUACAGUGACAUCUCACAUGCAACACAUUCUUCAAAGAAUCCACCAACUUCAGGAAGGGAUUUCAGUGCGCCAUAUCACGGUAUGUAUAAGAAGUGUUUGGGACAUCCGAAAACACCAAACAGAUAAUACUCAAAUUUACAUCGGCUUCAUGUGCUAUGACCACCACGUAAGCCUUUAUUAAAACUUUAACAUAUACAUAUAUAUGUAUUUGGUUUAAACUACUCACUAUUUACUUAAUUGGUUCGGCACAACAAAUUUUGUUCACAUUCAGGGACAACUAUUAGAAGGUUGACUCACCGGAAACAUUCAGCCAAAUGACCCAAAAAAUUUAACCGAGGGAGAUAUAUAUGAAUUUUCAGGAUUUUCUGUCAUACAUAAUUCACGACAUCGAAAACUCACUCAGCUGCCGUAUUACAUUCAGAUCGACCAAAACACAAUUACAUCGAAAGUUACAGACAUCGGUCCAAUAUUUCCAGUUCACAAUUUCUCUCCUCAGAAUUACAAAAAUCUAUUGCGCUUAGCCACUACCCCUACCUACUUACCAGAUAAGUAAGUCAGCUCAAUAUCAAUUAAACAAACAUGGAUUUUUGUUCUAACUCAAAAUCAAUGUGUAGAUGUCGUCGGGCAGAUACUCAUAAUACAAAAAAGAAAUCCAUACCACCCAAAAGUCAAUAUUGAUGCCACGAUUGGUCUACGGCUGAACAGGUAAGUCUAACACAAUAGGUAAACACGAAAUCAUAAUUCUCCUCAUACAUACACCUCUAUCUCAGGUCGACAAUGGUUAAACUCAUACUGUACGACAAGCAAGCAGCAGAUUUUAUCAUCCUAUAAAACAAGAAGAAUAGAAAAUUUAAAGUUGUCAUCAUCACAAGCAUAAUUCCUAAACUUUUCCAAAGUAAAUAAUUUUUUUAAACACAUCAAAAAAUAAUACAGAUCUAAAUUUUUUUUUCCAACAGAACAAUAAUAUCCAAUAUUUUCCGGGCAAACUACUACUCAGUUCAUCACCAGCAACAAAUUUCUACUUCAACAAAUCAAUUGAUUACAUAAAAUAUUUCAAAGGGCGAUUAAGAGAUCAUGCAAAAGCAUGCAGCAAAGAGUGACUUUAAUUCAUGCAUCAUUAGGAUUAUUAUUCUCUUUCCCACACAAUUUGAUACCUAGGUUUAUUUAUAUUUUUAACUAUUUUAUCAUUGUUUUUUUUUUAAUUUCUACUUCUCUACAAAAACUAAAACUAAACUUCUGUCUUUCAAACUUUUCUAAUCAAUUUAAAUAUAUAGAGAAUAAAUUAAAAAACAUAAUCCGCGCGUACCGCGAACAACGGAUCUAGUAUAACAUAACACGUGUUGCCAUACGUUGCGCAGUUGCCCUCCGUAAUAUUUUUUAAUUAGUGUAAAUUUGUAUUGAAUUUUGAAAAUGCCCUUGUUAAAAAUUUAAUUUUGAAAUGUCGUAAUAAUGUUUUUUAGUUUUGUCCCGGAUAACUAUUGUUGCAGAUCGGCCAUUGUCUUUUUUUUUUGGUAAAAAAACUCUUUUACCUGUUCAAAUCCGCCAUUGUUUUUUUUUUUUUUUUUUUUUUUGGUAACUCUGGUAUCUGGGCAUUCCCAACUAUCCCCGUAGGGGGUCCAGCGCUCCAACAGAAGGGAUGUUAAAUCCGCUGUGGCCGGGGCUCGAAGUCGUGAUGGCGGACACCUCAGCCGAGGUUCCUUUACCACCAGACCACGAGGCCCGGUUCAGAUCUGCCAUUGUUGCAUGCGCAAUGCUAACCAAGCUUUCAAAGAUGGUCUGAGAAAUUUUAACUUUGAACAAAAAUUUCCUAAAAACUAAAAUACUUGUCAAUUUUCAAUAAUGUUUGGAUAACACUCAUCAGCUUCUUCUCUUUUUAACCUCCUUUUCUUUCUUGUUUGCUCAAAUGAUUGUUCUUUUUUUAUUCGGUGACAUCUUUAUAUUAUUGUAAAAAGUGAUGUUACAACAAUUAAUUUCAUUUGCGUACAAAUAAAUAACAACUACUUGCAUUUUAUAACAAAACUUGAAUAUAAAAUAUUUGGAAAAGGUAAAAGAACAAGAAUAAAAAGGGGUUAGUUGUCUCAUUGCUCCAAAUUGGUUCAUUAUUUCACUAACCGUGUAGAGAAUAUAUAUCUAAAAUAUGUAAUCUAUACUAUUAAAAAGAGAAGUCAUGACUUGUUUCAUGUAUGAUAUUUUAAAUGGACCAUCCCUAGAAAGUUGCUUACAUUAUUUUUUUGUAUUUUCAUAACAAUAUCCUAACGAGAUAUUUAAUUAUCAUUUUAUUUCAUCAAAAUAUUAUUAAUAAUGGAUCAUUCCUUAAAAUUUUAUCAAAUUUUACAUGAAUUAAUUAUAAUAUUUAUAUUUUUAAUUGAAU